rnacentral:pre_miRNA from 1 species
GCCAGGAAAAGGAAUCAUAGGACGGCUUAGGAGCGAUGGGCAUGGGAACAUGCAGGAAAGCAUAAGCUCUACAGUUCCAUGUUUAGAACUGGAGGUUAAGAUACUGUUUUGAGUUUUCCUAAUGCCUCCCCAUGCCUACCGUUCUUUGGUGCUUCCUCUUCCUUUUGGUU